CAGUCGCCACGGGAAUACAGAGGGUGCGAGCGUUAAUCGGAUUUACUGGGCGUAAAGCGUGCGUAGGCGGCUAAUUGAGUCGGAUGUGAAAUCCCCGAGCUUAACUUGGGAAUUGCAUUCGAUACUGGUUAGCUAGAGUGUGGGAGAGGAUGGUAGAAUUCCAGGUGUAGCGGUGAAAUGCGUAGAGAUCUGGAGGAAUACCGAUGGCGAAGGCAGCCAUCUGGCCUAACACUGACGCUGAGGUACGAAAGCAUGGGGAGCAAACAGGAUUAGAUACCCCCGUAGUCCCUGUCUCUUAUAC
rnacentral:rRNA from 1 species